GACGAACGCUGGCGGCGUGCCUAACACAUGCAAGUCGAGCGAGAUCCGUUCGGCCUUCGGGCCGAGCACGAUCGAGCGGCGAACGGGUGAGUAACACGUGAAGAACCUGCCUCAGAGAACCGGGAUAACCCGGGGAAACUCGAGCUAAUACCGGAUGUCCUCUUCGGACCGCAUGGUCUGAUGAGGAAAUGGUCCGCUGCUCUGAGAGGGCUUCGCGGCCUAUCAGCUAGUUGGUGGGGUAAUGGCCCACCAAGGCUACGACGGGUAGCUGGUCUGAGAGGACGAUCAGCCACACUGGGACUGAGACACGGCCCAGACUCCUACGGGAGGCAGCAGGUGGGGAAUCUUGCGCAAUGGGACGAAAGCCUGACGCAGCAACGCCGCGUGGGGGAUGAAGGCUCUCGGGUUGUAAACCCCUUUCAGCAGGGACGAAAAUGACGGUACCUGCAGAAGAAGCCCCGGCCAACUACGUG
rnacentral:rRNA from 1 species